GCCUUCGUGGUGUAGUGGUCAGCACGCUCGACGCGUAACCGAGAGAUCCGUGGUUCGAUUCGCGACGAAGGCG
rnacentral:tRNA from 1 species